GUGGGGGAGCCCUGAAACCCAGCCCGGGGAUAAAUAUUUGCUGAAUUGGAUGAGGAUUGAAGCCGAAGUGAUGAGGUGGCCUUGUACUCCUCACCAUAACUUGUCACAUAAAUGUCCCUUCUAUCAAUGAGAGGGGACUGAGUGCCUAUCUGAGCGCCCUGUGCUCACGUGAGACCCGUCAGCCAAGGCCCAGGCUGUCCCGGCGCCUCGCUCUCAGACGUGACUGGGAGCCCGAGAAACAGCAGACACCCUGGAGAGCCGAGAGCUGAGCCGAUGCAAGGACGAUGUGGGAGGAAGCAGAACGGGACAGCAGGAACGCUGGGGCCUCGCUGUGACAGCAAAAGGAAUAACCCGAGACGGAGUGCAGGGCCCUCUGUGCCCGCCUGCUUCUCACCGAUCACAGAGCCACUGGAGUUCCUCCCUGUCACAGGCUGUGACAAUGGUCCCUUCUGUCUGCCGCCGGCAGCCACAGCUGUCUCUCCACGCCCCAGCCGGUGGCCACCCGGAUCGCGGCUGGUCUUGGGUGCUGCAAACCCCGCAGCUGCGUGUGGACCAGUGCGGGUCUCCGUGGGGACGCGUGUGGCCGCCCCUCCCGAGGUGGCCGGUUCCCAGAGCAGCCAUUCGCUGCCCUCGAAUGGAGGUGCCUGGCCCCCUCCCGGAGCGGCUGCCCCUCCCGCCUCCCCGCCCGCGGGGCCUGGCUGGCAGUGCUUGCUGUGUGUGGGGGUUUUUGGGUCAUUUUAGUGGACGUGCAGUGGGACCUGGGAGCUUUGCCUCAACUUCCCCAGGAGCUCCUCCCGC